UAGUUUGGACUUCCCCUUUUGAAAGAGACCUGAGAAUAAGGCUGCCUUCUCUAUGAGCUAGUGGGGGUGGAGGAAUCCACGACUGAAAUCAUACGUUGGUAAUUGGAAGGCAUUGUAAUACUGUUGUCAUAGUAACAAUGGACUGGAGUGUGAGACAACAGGGCUUUUGUCAAAAGUGACUACAGAAAAUGGUUUGGGACGCACUACCAUAGCAUAUACAACUGCAGUGCUCCCUGGUGGACUUUGGCAGAAGGACAUGAGGGAAAUGGAUAAAUUUCCAUAUGUGAAAGAUACCUCUUCACUAUGACAGAUGCCUUUUGAAGAAAUCUGUCUGAGUAGUGUCAGUCACCCAUGUGUACCCAACGAAGAAAGGUCUUGGAGUGCAAGGAACCUUGAAAUGAGUGGAUCAUUGAAGUGGUCUUCACCUCAGCCUCUACAAAUGCACCAUGUUGCUUUGAUGAAGGAUGCUAUACGUUGACCUGAUUUGCCUCACAGACUGCUUGUGCUUUUCAAGGACUCUGAAAGCGGGGCUCCUAAUCUGUCACAUGGGAU